GAUUCCUACGGAAGGCAGCAGUGGGGAAUAUUGGACAAUGGGGGAAACCCUGAUCCAGCGACGCCGCGUGUGUGAAGAAGGCCUGCGGGUUGUAAAGCACUUUCAGUAGAGAAGAAAAGCUUAAGGCUAAUAUCCUUGAGUCUUGACGUAACCUACGGAAGAAGCACCGGCUAACUCCGUGCCAGCAGCCGCGGUAAUAAU
rnacentral:rRNA from 1 species